AACGAACGCUGGCGGCAGGCCUAACACAUGCAAGUCGAACGCCCGUAGCAAUACGGGAGUGGCAGACGGGUGAGUAACGCGUGGGAACGUGCCCUUCGGUUCGGAAUAACUCAGGGAAACUUGAGCUAAUACCGGAUACGUCCGUAAGGAGAAAGAUUUAUCGCCGAAGGAUCGGCCCGCGUCGGAUUAGCUAGUUGGUGAGGUAACGGCCCACCAAGGCGACGAUCCGUAGCUGGUCUGAGAGGANGAUCAGCCACACUGGGACUGAGACACGGCCCAGACUCCUACGGGAGGCAGCAGUGGGGAAUCUUGCGCAAUGGGCGAAAGCCUGACGCAGCGACGCCGCGUGAGGGAUGACAGCCUUCGGGUUGUAAACCUCUUUCAGCUCCGACGAAGCGAGAGUGACGGUAGG
rnacentral:rRNA from 1 species